UACGAAGGGGGCUAGCGUUGCUCGGAAUCACUGGGCGUAAAGCGCACGUAGGCGGACUCUUAAGUCGGGGGUGAAAGCCCAGGGCUCAACCCUGGAACUGCCUUCGAUACUGGGAGUCUUGAGUGUGGAAGAGGUUGGUGGAACUGCGAGUGUAGAGGUGAAAUUCGUAGAUAUUCGCAAGAACACCAGUGGCGAAGGCGGCAUCCUGGACCGGUAUUGACGCUGAGGCGCGAAAGCCAGGGGAGCAAACGGG
rnacentral:rRNA from 1 species